rnacentral:lncRNA from 1 species
AUGAAACUCCCUGUAGAUUUACCGGGUUUUGCCUUCAGAAAUGCUAGAUUAGCAGUUGGGAGAUUAAUCGACGCCCUUUCUGUUUGCGUGGAACAGAGCUUAAACAAGAUGAAAAACGAAGAAGAACCCACAUGCUUGAUUGAUUUCUGGAUGCAGGAAAAUUUAAGAGAGAUUAACGAAGCUAAGAACAAUGGAUUACAAAAGCCAUUCCAGUACACUAACAAGGAACUUGGAGGUUACCUGUUCGACUUCCUCUUUGCUGCUCAAGAUGCUUCUACUUCUGCUCUGUUAUGGGCAAUCGUGCUUUUAGAUUCUCACCCACAAGUUCUGGAGAAAGUUCGGUCGGAGGUAGCGAAAUUCUGGUCGCCAGAAUCUGAGGAGCCGCUGA